ACUCCUACGGGAGGCAGCAGUGGGGAAUAUUGCACAAUGGGCGCAAGCCUGAUGCAGCCAUGCCGCGUGUGUGAAGAAGGCCUUCGGGUUGUAAAGCACUUUCAGUCGUGAGGAAGGUAGUGUAGUUAAUAGCUGCAUUAUUUGUACGUUAGCGACAGAAGAAGCACCGGCUAACUCCGUGCCAGCAGCCGCGGUAAUACGGAGGGUGCGAGCGUUAAUCGGAAUUACUGGGCGUAAAGCGCAUGCAGGCGGCCUGUUAAGUCAGAUGUGAAAGCCCGGGGCUUAACCUCGGAAUUGCAUUUGAAACUGGCAGGCUAGAGUCUUGUAGAGGGGGGUAGAAUUUCAGGUGUAGCGGUGAAAUGCGUAGAGAUCUGAAGGAAUACCAGUGGCGAAGGCGGCCCCCUGGACAAAGACUGACGCUCAGAUGCGAAAGCGUGGGGAGCAAACAGGAUUAGAUACCCUGGUAGGAUACCG
rnacentral:rRNA from 1 species